GGGGCUGAUUCUGGAUUCGACGGGAUUUGCGAAACCCAAGGUGCAUGCCGAGGGGCGGUUGGCCUCGUAAAAAGCCGCAAAAAAUAGUCGCAAACGACGAAAACUACGCUUUAGCAGCUUAAUAACCUGCUUAGAGCCCUCUCUCCCUAGCCUCCGCUCUUAGGACGGGGAUCAAGAGAGGUCAAACCCAAAAGAGAUCGCGUGGAAGUCCUGCCUGGGGUUGAAGCGUCAAAACUUAAUCAGGCUAGUUUGUUAGUGGCGUGUCCGUCCGCAGCUGGCAAGCGAAUGUAAAGACUGACUAAGCAUGUAGUACCGAGGAUGUAGGAAUUUCGGACGCGGGUUCAACUCCCGCCAGCUCCACCA
rnacentral:tmRNA from 1 species